rnacentral:sRNA from 1 species
CACAUGGGUUAGUCGAUCCUA